AUUGAACUGUAGCCGGGCCUGGGCUACUACACAGCUGUAGAGACACCGUGCCUGCCCCUGUGGGAUGCUGUGCUCUGAGGCAGGGCCCAGCUCUGAGGCACGCCACUUCUAGGAAGACACUCACUUCAUACACUAGUCAACUAGCCCAGGCAUGGAAUGCAGCAACCAGCCAACAGGGCCUCUUGGAGCUCAUCCCUGAAUGCACAGGAGGCCGGACAUAAUACAAUCAAUACGUCAGGCAGCAAGGAGAAACCGGCAGCGAGGUUUUAUCUGCAUCUCACUGACCUGGAGGAAGAGGAGUGCUGACUCCGGCUCUCUCAAGCUUCCGAGCCACCCCACCUCACCUGGCGGGAGAGCCCGAGUAGCACAGGUGAGGUCCUCAAUCCAAGGUCAAAGGGACAAGGAUACAGACAGUCCAAGACAGCUCUACUGUCAACUCGAGGACGCCGCUCUGCUCUUUGGAUUGUGACAGGACGAGACAGUGCAGAGGACCCUCCACCCUGUAUUCUUGCUGAGGCCAUGUCAGAUUUGAUCUCCCUGACGGUAAGCCCUAUGACAAACUACCCAGCUCUCUUCUAGGAACCCAGCUCCAGAUGCCCCAGAUAAUGUGCAUUAGCUUCUGUUAAACUGCCUGUGUGGACACCUCCCCCACAUUUAUCUUAUCUUCUGUUAAACUGUUUGCUGGCGCAAAACCUCCCCUUGCAACCACCGAGAGAGACAGCACCCAGUGGUUUCGGCCUUCAGAAGCCUGGUACUCCCAACGCCUGCCACUGCGCUUGGGUCCUGAACACCUGAGUGUCGUCCGGCCGGCUGGAACGAAGCCUUUCCGUUGGCUCCAGACUGACUGAGUGGGCUUCUCUGGUGGGCUUCCCACAGCCACAGCUCAUUACCACAUGCCUGGGUACUGUGCCUGCUUUGCCAGCACAUACGGUUAUGGCUCAGCAACAACGGAAUUGACGAGAAUGCUACAAAGUCAACACCAAAGCUGGAAGAGACGGCAGAGAUCAGAACAGCGCUUCCGAGAACUACAGCUAUGCUGAGGCCUCCGCUGCGGAAGAACAGACACUGGGGAAAUGGGUAAGAUAAGCAAGAGGGACAUUCUAAUAAAGUACUGAAAGUGAUGACAUUGACCAAAACCAAAAACUGCUGACAGAAAUCUUUUAGAAGCUCAUUACUAGAAUAGAGAUGGCUGGGGAGACAAUCUCUCAUCCUUAUCUGGCAACAGAAGCUUCAAAUGUAUGGACUCAAGAAACCAGGAAGGGGAGGAUUGUCAGUACCAGGCAAACACAUACAGCGAGACUGUCUGAAAACAAACAAAUGAGCAACAACAAAAGCUCAGAAAGAAAACGCUGAAACAGACGAUGGGGCGCUGACAAGGAUGUAAACACAGGGACAGGGUACCUUACAAAAGGAAAGGGAGCAGGGUGGGAUUCAAAGCCAUGACUGAGAAUUCGGCUUGGAUAUCCGAAUCCUCGUUUCCUGGUUGGUGUCGCUGUCUGGCGAGGUGGUGCAACCUUGAUGAAGGAAAUACUCCACUGAGAGGUGGUGGACCUUUGAGAGGUCACGGUCUCAGGCGACUUCCUGUUUGCUUUCCCUGCUUUGUCUCUGUGAAUGAAGACUGGCUCGCUCAGCCUCCCAGAUGUCCUGCUUCCAUGUUACCUCACCAUGCUGGGCUCUUUAACGUGGCAUAGCUCUGUAAUUCCGGCUACUCAAAAGGUUGAGCCAGGAAGAUCAAAAGUUCAAGGCCUACCUGGACAACUUAGUAAAACCCUCUCUUAAUAUAAAAAACUCGGAAAAGAAGAAGAUAUGCACUCAGUUUUCAUUCUCUCUGUCAGCCACGUUCAUUUUUUAGCCAUUCUACAACCUGACACAGCCCAGAGUCACCAGAGGAAUGAGUCUCCAUAAAGUAACUGUCCUUAACCAUGUUGGUCUGUAGGCACUUCUGUGAGGGAUGAAUCAAGACAAAUAUUAAUCAGUGCAGGAGGGGCCUAGCCCGUGAGGCUGAUGGUCCUGGGCUGUCUGAGAAAGCUAGUUAAGUGUGAGUCUGGAAGAAAGCCAGAGAGCGAGCCAACAAAUCGGUUCCCUACGGCUCCUACCCUGACAAACAUCCCUCAAGGAUGGUCUGUGACUUGGAAGCAUAAGAAAAAAUAAACUUUUUCCUCCCCUGA